rnacentral:rRNA from 1 species
AGUGAACGCUGGCGGUAGGCCUAACACAUGCAAGUCGAACGGCAGCACAGUAAGAGCUUGCUCUUACGGGUGGCGAGUGGCGGACGGGUGAGGAAUACAUCGGAAUCUACUUUUUCGUGGGGGAUAACGUAGGGAAACUUACGCUAAUACCGCAUACGACCUACGGGUGAAAGCAGGGGAUCUUCGGACCUUGCGCGAUUGAAUGAGCCGAUGUCGGAUUAGCUAGUUGGCGGGGUAAAGGCCCACCAAGGCGACGACCCGUAGCUGGUCUGAGGGGAUGAUCAGCCACACUGGAACUGAGACACGGUCCAGACUCCUACGGGAGGCAGCAGUGGGGAAUAUUGGACAAUGGGCGCAAGCCUGAUCCAGCCAUACCGCGUGGGUGAAGAAGGCCUUCGGGUUGUAAAGCCCUUUUGUUGGGAAAGAAAAGCAGCAGGUUAAUACCCCGCUGUUCUGACGGUACCCAAAGAAUAAGCACCGGCUAACUUCGU